AUACAUGCAAGUCGAGCGGACAGAAGGGAGCUUGCUCCCGGAUGUUAGCGGCGGACGGGUGAGUAACACGUGGGUAACCUGCCUGUAAGACUGGGAUAACUCCGGGAAACCGGAGCUAAUACCGGAUAGUUCCUUGAACCGCAUGGUUCAAGGAUGAAAGACGGUUUCGGCUGUCACUUACAGAUGGACCCGCGGCGCAUUAGCUAGUUGGUGGGGUAAUGGCUCACCAAGGCGACGAUGCGUAGCCGACCUGAGAGGGUGAUCGGCCACACUGGGACUGAGACACGGCCCAGACUCCUACGGGAGGCAGCAGUAGGGAAUCUUCCGCAAUGGACGAAAGUCUGACGGAGCAACGCCGCGUGAGUGAUGAAGGUUUUCGGAUCGUAAAGCUCUGUUGUUAGGGAAGAACAAGUGCGAGAGUAACUGCUCGCACCUUGACGGUACCUAACCAGAAAGCCACGGCUAACUACGUGCCAGCAGCCGCGGUAAUACGUAGGUGGCAAGCGUUGUCCGGAAUUAUUGGGCGUAAAGGGCUCGCAGGCGGUUUCUUAAGUCUGAUGUGAAAGCCCCCGGCUCAACCGGGGAGGGUCAUUGGAAACUGGGAAACUUGAGUGCAGAAGAGGAGAGUGGAAUUCCACGUGUAGCGGUGAAAUGCGUAGAGAUGUGGAGGAACACCAGUGGCGAAGGCGACUCUCUGGUCUGUAACUGACGCUGAGGAGCGAAAGCGUGGGGAGCGAACAGGAUUAGAUACCCUGGUAGUCCACGCCGUAAACGAUGAGUGCUAAGUGUUAGGGGGUUUCCGCCCCUUAGUGCUGCAGCUAACGCAUUAAGCACUCCGCCUGGGGAGUACGGUCGCAAGACUGAAACUCAAAGGAAUUGACCGGGGGCCCGCACAAGCGGUGGAGCAUGUGGUUUAAUUCGAAGCAACGCGAAGAACCUUACCAGGUCUUGACAUCCUCUGACAACCCUAGAGAUAGGGCUUUCCCUUCGGGGACAGAGUGACAGGUGGUGCAUGGUUGUCGUCAGCUCGUGUCGUGAGAUGUUGGGUUAAGUCCCGCAACGAGCGCAACCCUUGAUCUUAGUUGCCAGCAUUCAGUUGGGCACUCUAAGGUGACUGCCGGUGACAAACCGGAGGAAGGUGGGGAUGACGUCAAAUCAUCAUGCCCCUUAUGACCUGGGCUACACACGUGCUACAAUGGACAGAACAAAGGGCUGCAAGACCGCAAGGUUUAGCCAAUCCCAUAAAUCUGUUCUCAGUUCGGAUCGCAGUCUGCAACUCGACUGCGUGAAGCUGGAAUCGCUAGUAAUCGCGGAUCAGCAUGCCGCGGUGAAUACGUUCCCGGGCCUUGUACACACCGCCCGUCACACCACGAGAGUUUGCAACACCCGAAGUCGGUGAGGUAACCUUUAUGGAGCCAGCCGCCGAAGGUGGGGCAGAUGAUUGGGGUGAAGUC
rnacentral:rRNA from 1 species